rnacentral:rRNA from 1 species
GUGCAGCGCGAAAACUUCACACUGUGCGAAAGCACGAUGAGGGAAUCCCAAGUGCUUGCACGUAAGUGUAAGCUGUUUCUCUGUUUAAAACGCAGAGAGAGUAAGGGCUGGGUAAGACGGGUGCCAGCCGCCGCGGUAAUACCUGCAGCUCAAGUGGUGACCGUUAUUAUUGGGCCUAAAACGUCCGUAGCCGGUUUAAUAAAUGCCUGGGUAAAUCGUGUAGCUUAACUAUACGAAUUCCGGGUAGACUGUUAAACUCGAGACCGGGAGAAGUUAGAGGUACUCCUGGGGUAGAGGUGAAAUUCUGUAAUCCUAGGGGGACCACCAGUGGCGAAGGCGUCUAACUAGAACGGGUCUGACGGUGAGGGACGAAGCCCUGGGGCGCAAACGGGAUUAGAUACCCCUGUAGU